UCCUCAGGAUUAUUAAUGAACCGACCGCGGCAGCCAUAGCUUAUGGUCUCGACAAGAAAGGACGUGGGGAAAGAAACGUGCUCAUUUUCGAUCUAGGCGGGGGAACGUUUGACGUAUCGAUUCUCACCAUAGAAGACGGAAUCUUCGAGGUGAAAGCAACGGCGGGGGAUACGCACCUCGGCGGAGAGGAUUUCGACAGCCGUUUAGUGACCCAUUUCGUUCAGGAGUUCAAGCGAAAGUACAAGAAGGACCUCUCGAGCAGUAAAAAGGCGACUCGUAGGUUGAGGACCGCGUGCGAACG
rnacentral:misc_RNA from 1 species